rnacentral:rRNA from 1 species
GGUUAAGCGACUAAGCGUACACGGUGGAUGCCCUGGCAGUCAGAGGCGAUGAAGGGCGUGCUAAUCUGCGAUAAGCGCCGGUAAGGUGAUAUGAACCGUUAUAACCGGCGAUACCCGAAUGGGGAAACCCAGUGUGACUCGUCACACUAUCAUUAACUGAAUCCAUAGGUUAAUGAGGCGAACCGGGGGAACUGAAACAUCUAAGUACCCCGAGGAAAAGAAAUCAACCGAGAUUCCCCCAGUAGCGGCGAGCGAACGGGGAGGAGCCCAGAGCCUGAAUCAGCAUGUGUGUUAGUGGAAGCGUCUGGAAAGGCGCGCGAUACAGGGUGACAGCCCCGUACACAAAAGCGCAUGUGCUGUGAGCUCGAUGAGUAGGGCGGGACACGUGGUAUCCUGUCUGAAUAUGGGGGRACCAUCCUCCAAGGCUAAAUACUCCUGACUGACCGAUAGUGAACCAGUACCGUGAGGGAAAGGCGAAAAGAACCCCGGCGAGGGGAGUGAAAAAGAACCUGAAACCGUGUACGUACAAGCAGUGGGAGCACCCUUUGGGGUGUGACUGCGUACCUUUUGUAUAAUGGGUCAGCGACUUAUAUUCUGUAGCAAGGUUAACCGUAUAGGGGAGCCGUAGGGAAACCGAGUCUUAACCGGGCGUUAAGUUGCAGGGUAUAGACCCGAAACCCGGUGAUCUAGCCAUGGGCAGGUUGAAGGUUGGGUAACACUAACUGGAGGACCGAACCGACUAAUGUUGAAAAAUUAAGCGGAUGACCUGUGGCUGGGGGUGGAAAGGCCAAUCAAACCGGGAGAUAGCUGGUUCUCCCCGAAACGCUAUUUAGGUAGCGCCUCGUGAAUUCAUCUCCGGGGGUAGGAGCACUGUUUCGGACACACGGCGGGUGCUAACGUCCGUCGUGAAGAGGGAAACAACCCAGACCGCCAGCUAAGGUCCCAAAGUCAUGGUUAAGUGGGAAAACGAUGUGGGAAGGCCCAGACAGCCAGGAUGUUGGCUUAGAAGCAGCCAUCAUUUAAAGAAAGCGUAAUAGCUCACUGGUCGAGUCGGCCUGCGCGGAAGAUGUAACGGGGCUAAACCAUGCACCGAAGCUGCGGCAGCGACGCUGAUGCGUUGUUGGGUAGGGGAGCGUUCUGUAAGCCUGCGAAGGUGACCUGUGAGGGUUGCUGGAGGUAUCAGAAGUGCGAAUGCUGACAUAAGUAACGAUAAAGCGGGUGAAAAGCCCGCUCGCCGGAAGACCAAGGGUUCCUGUCCAACGUUAAUCGGGGCAGGGUGAGUCGACCCCUAAGGCGAGGCCGAAAGGCGUAGUCGAUGGGAAACGGGUUAAUAUUCCCGUACUUGGUGUUACUGCGAAGGGGGGACGGAGAAGGCUAUGUUGGCCGGGCGACGGUUGUCCCGGUUUAAGCGUGUAGGUGUGUGUUCCAGGUAAAUCCGGUUCACUUUAACACUGAGGCGUGAUGACGAGGCACUACGGUGCUGAAGCAACAAAUGCCCUCGCUUCCUAGGAAAAGGACCKUCUAAGAAGGCGCUGAGAGAACGUCGGGUGAAGGAACUAGGCAAAUGGUGCCGUAACUUCGGGAGAAGGCACGCUGACACGUAGGUGAAGUGAUUUACUCACGGAGCUGAAGUCAGUCGAAGAUACCAGCUGGCUGCAACUGUUUAWUUAAAAACACAGCACUGUGCAAACACGAAAGUGGACGUAUACGGUGUGACGCCUGCCCGGUGCCGAACUCGCUGUGAAGAUGCAGUGUACCCGCGGCAAGACGGAAAGACCCCGUGAACCUUUACUAUAGCUUGACACUGAACAUUGAGCCUUGAUGUGUAGGAUAGGUGGGAGGCUUUGAAGUGUGGACGCCAGUCUGCAUGGAGCCGACCUUGAAAUACCACCCUUUAAUGUUUGAUGUUCUAACGUGGACCCGUUACCCGGGUUGCGGACAGUGUCUGGUGGGUAGUUUGACUGGGGCGGUCUCCUCCUAAAGAGUAACGGAGGAGCACGAAGGUUGGCUAAUCCUGGUCGGACAUCAGGAGGUUAGUGCAAUGGCAUAAGCCAGCUUGACUGCGAGCGUGACGGCGCGAGCAGGUGCGAAAGCAGGUCAUAGUGAUCCGGUGGUUCUGAAUGGAAGGGCCAUCGCUCAACGGAUAAAAGGUACUCCGGGGAUAACAGGCUGAUACCGCCCAAGAGUUCAUAUCGACGGCGGUGUUUGGCACCUCGAUGUCGGCUCAUCACAUCCUGGGGCUGAAGUAGGUCCCAAGGGUAUGGCUGUUCGCCAUUUAAAGUGGUACGCGAGCUGGGUUUAGAACGUCGUGAGACAGUUCGGUCCCUAUCUGCCGUGGGCGCUGGAGAACUGAGGGGGGCUGCUCCUAGUACGAGAGGACCGGAGUGGACGCAUCACUGGUGUUCGGGUUGUCAUGCCAAUGGCACUGCCCGGUAGCUAAAUGCGGAAGAGAUAAGUGCUGAAAGCAUCUAAGCACGAAACUUGCCCCGAGAUGAGUUCUCCCUGAGACUUAAAGUCUCCUGAAGGAACGUUGAAGACGACGACGUUGAUAGGCCGGGUGUGUAAGCGCAGCGAUGCGUUGAGCUAACCGGUACUAAUGAACCGUGAGGCUUAACCUU